CGCCCUUGAGUUUGAUCAUGGCUCAGGAUGAACGCUAGCGGCGUGCCUAACACAUGCAAGUCGAACGUGAGAGGGUACUUGUAUCCUUGAAAGUGGCGGACGGGUGAGUAAGACGUAGGUGACCUGCCUCGGAGUGGGGGAUAACCAUUGGAAACGAUGGCUAAUACCGCAUAGGUUGAGUAAGAUGGGAAUCUUAGUCAACAAAGCUUUAGUGCUUUGAGAGGGGCCUACGGCCGAUUAGUUAGUUGGUGGGGUAAAGGCCUACCAAGGCGAUGAUCGGUAGCUGGUCUGAGAGGACGAUCAGCCACACGGGAACUGAGACUCGGUCCCGACUCCUACGGGGGGCAGCAGUGAGGAAUAUUCGGCAAUGGGGGGAACCCUGACCGAGCAACGCCGUUUUUUUUUAUGACGGUUUUCGGAUUGUAAACUCCUUUUCUGCGGGAAGAGGCAGGACGGUACCGCAGGAAUAAGUCACGGCUAACUACGUGCCAGCAGCCGCGGUA
rnacentral:rRNA from 1 species